rnacentral:rRNA from 1 species
GAUUAACGCUAGCGGCAGGCCUAAUACAUGCAAGUCGAACGGUAACAGGUCCAGCAAUGGAUGCUGACGAGUGGCGCACGGGUGCGUAACACGUAUGCAACCUACCUUUAACUGGAGAAUAGCCCCGAGAAAUCGGGAUUAAUACUCCAUAUAAUUAUAAUGAGGCAUCUCAUUGUAAUCAAAGCUCCGGCGGUUAAAGAUGGGCAUGCGCGACAUUAGCUAGUUGGUGAGGUAACGGCGCACCAAGGCUGCGAUGUCUAGGGGUUGUGGGAGGAUUCACCCCCACACUGGUACUGAGACACGGACCAGACUCCUACGGGAGGCAGCAGUAAGGAAUAUUGGUCAAUGGACGCAAGUCUGAACCAGCCAUGCCGCGUGCAGGAAGACAGCCCUACGGGUUGUAAACUGCUUUUGUACGGGAAAAAACCCCUGGUCGCGCACCAGGGCUGAUGGUACCGUAAGAAUAAGCAUCGGCUAACUCCGUGCCAGCCGCCGCGGUAACAC